rnacentral:rRNA from 1 species
CAAUAGCGUAUAUUUAAGUUGUUGCAGUUAAAAAGCUCGUAGUUGAAUUUCUGGCUAGUCCGGUUCUCGGCAGUUUGUCGGCUCAGGGCUUAGUCAUCCGUAGGGGAAGCUAGUACGUACUUCAAUGGACGGCUAGGGGAACCUACAUUUUACUGUGAAAAAAUUAGAGUGUUCCAGGCAGGCAGUCGCUUGAAUACUCCAGCAUGGAAUAAUGGAAUAGGACUUUGACCUAUUUGUUGGUUUGAGGUUAAAGUAAUGAUUAAUAGGGACAGUUGGGGGCAUUCGUAUUUAAUUGUCAGAGGUGAAAUUCUUGGAUUUAUUAAAGACGAACAUAUGCGAAAGCAUUUGCCAAGGAUGUUUUCAUUAA